rnacentral:rRNA from 1 species
GGUGAACGCUGGCGGCGUGCCUAAGACAUGCAAGUCGAGCGGGCCGCGGGGUUUUACUCCGUGGUCAGCGGCGGACGGGUGAGUAACGCGUGGGUGACCUACCCGGAAGAGGGGGACAACCCGGGGAAACUCGGGCUAAUCCCCCAUGUGGACCCGCCCCUUGGGGUGUGUCCAAAGGGCUUUUCCCGCUUCCGGAUGGGCCCGCGUCCCAUCAUCUAGUUGGUGGGGUAAUGGCCCACCAAGGCGACGACGGGUAGCCGGCCUGACAGGGGGGGCGGGCACACGGGCACUUGGACACUGGCCCAAGUCCUAGGGGAGGCCGCAGUUAAGAAUCUUCCGCAAUGGGCGCAAGCCUGACGGAGCGACGCCGCUUGGCGGCAGACGCCCUUCGGGGUGUAAACUCCUGAACCCGGGACGAAACCCCCGACGAGGGGACUGACGGUACCGGGGUAAUAGCGCCGGCCAACUCCGUG